CUGAGCAGUAGAAAUAUUACAGAGAAAGUGUGGGCUAAAUGACAGACAAUUCAUUGUAUUGUUGCAGGCAUUUUGCUGGAUAUUUUUAUGUGGGUAUGCAGAAAGUGAAAACUUAGCCUUGCUGACAUCCAACAGUUGACUGCUCAGCAUACUUUAAAAGGGUCAGCGUUCUUAUGUUUACUCCAUUUAACUGCCUCAUCUAAACGCCUCUUAAACAUAAUGACUAUCUGAUUCCACCACCUCCACAGGCAGUGAGUUCCAGAUGUUGCCUGAUUGUCUGGUUAUUCUCAGCUUUUUCGGCUAACUAUAGACUGUUCAUUACGUCAAUUGGCGUGCAAUGCUGCAAGGAACUCAACAGUGCAGUUAAAGCCCUCGCUUAACCUCUCACAGUUGAACCUACUCUUAGCUGCACAAGCACAAGUUUUGAUCAGCUUGUUCACCAGACCCUCCCUUUAUAUCGCAAGCUCUUAUGAUGUAGAGACCUCACUAUAGAGAAUCCUUCCAAUGGAGUUGCUAAAGAUCGAGGAACAUGUUUUAAUCAAAAUCAGAGAUGAAUGCUGUCUGCUCACUACUGCCCACAUCAUCCAAGAUUUCAAUGUAAUAAUUAAGAUAAGGAAAGAACAUAAUUUGUCCUUGUGAACAGCUUAUUUGAGUUAGAUAUCUUAUUGAAUGAAUGCGUGCAAGUUACAUAAGCACAGACCUAGAUAAGAUACCAGAAGACUUUCAGUAGAGGGUAAUUAUCUGCACUAUUCCUCAAUGUAUAAAGAUUUUAUACUGUAUAUGUUGUACACAUCAUAAUGUGGUAUAAUCAGGAAGAAGGUAGUAACUGCCUUCUUCCUCUUACUAAUGCAAGAUUAGUAGAAAUAAGUGCAAUUCUCUUUGACUUGAAGAAUUGGUGGUGUGAGUGAUUGUUUUCACCACAAUAUACUCAAAUUGGAAUAUUAACUGUUUGCACAAUAUAUAAUAAAGACAAAGAAUUGUACGCACACAAAAACAGACCCUCUGGCCCACCACAUCCAGCUCAACAUUUUUGCCUGUAUUAGGUGUCAUUCAUUCAAUGCCUUGCCUACUUGAGUCACUAUCUUAAUGUCUCUUAAGCACAAUGGUUAUAUAUAAAGCCACCACCUUUCCUGGCAACAAGUUCAGGAUAUUAACCACACUGUGUAAAAAAAAACACAUUUUCCUUCAUAUUUCCUUUAAACCCUAGAUCUAUGUGCCUUUAGUACUUCUACCAUGGGAAAAUAUUCUGAUGCUUUCGACCCUAUUGCAGCCACUUAUAAUUUUACAUUCCUCCCUCAGCAUUCUUCAUUCCAAAAAAAAAUCAAACCAAGCUAUCUGUUCUCCCCCCAUAACUACUGUCGUCCAAUCCAGGCGACAUCCUGAUGAAUCUCUUCUGUUCUCUCACUAGCAUAACCACAUCCUUCCUAUCGUCUGCUAACCAGAACUUCAAGUGUGUCUAACCCGCGUGUUGAAGGUUUCCAACGCAACAAACCAAAUGUUUAUAUUCUAUACCCUGAUCCAUGAAGGCAAAGAUCUUGUAUGUCUUCUUCACUAAUUAUUCCACAUUAAUUCAAAAACAAAACAUGAGAAUUACAUUAUCUUACAUUACCCUGUGCAAACCAGUACAGAAUUCCAUCAUGGUUUAAGAGGCUUAUGCCUACAAAUGAACAAUCAAAUUUCCAGAGUGAUUGUGACAACCUGCAUCAGCAUCAGGUUUCCCUUCUGAAAAAAAAAUAAAUCAAUUUCCAAUCACAGAAGAUGAAGCAUAGAAUAAAUGAAAUUAUGUGACCAAAUUUCUAGAAUCCAGCUAGCAUGGCACCAAUUCAUUAGACAACUAAUCAAAGCAGUAUCAAUUUGGGCAUUUGGUGGCAUAUGCUACUCAGGCUAUUUUCUUACUGAACUAGUAAAUAAGACGCCUGUCCUAAGGAUGCAAACUGCAACUUUAUAUCCUAUUAUCUUAAUUUGCGGAGUUAAUAUAAUAAAAUUGGAGUAAAUUAUUAGUUUCAGUAAUGAUGGCUAUGAAAUCAUUUGGAUACCUUCACUUAUAUGUUUUUGGGAAGGACAUUUGUAAGCUAUAACUAACUUAGUUAAUAAGUCACUCCAGAUCCACAGCACUUGACUGUGAACUACCACUUGGUUCAAAGGCAAUAACUGCUGCCCUUUAGGGCAGAAAAUUUAUCCCAUGCAUGAAAGAAGAAUUAGCAAGUUUCAGUUUUCUAACCAGCAUUCAAUACUAGAACUGCAUGUUAGCAUUAAAAAACUCAUCCAGGGCCUUGCAUUACCCAAAGGAAAAAAAAUACUCUUGGCAUUAUCAAUACCAUUUUCCUAUUAUUACUGUUUAACUGACUGGCUCUAACACAUCACUCAAAUGAACCUGUAAGCCAGAACGACAAAGAAACUAUGCAUAUAUUGGAAAUGGGCAUAAAACGUUCCUUCAACAAAAUCUAGCUGACAAUUUGAUGUCAAUGAGACGUCAAGAAUAUUAAGCUUGGCAGUUGAUACAAAUAUAUCAGCUGAAAAAAGAAAUCUAAAUGCAUUAAAUUUCUAUGAUCUAAUAUAGCAAUAUACUAUUAUCUGAAUCUACUAUUAAAAUUACCACAAAUACAACUGAUGUUACCUUUAAGUUUAGUUGAAUAACUAAUCCAAUGCUGAUUUUUUAAAAUUACUUUCUUGUUUUUGUCUGCAAAUCUUUAUUUCACAUCACAUUUCAUUCCAAUUCUAACUAAUUUUGUUAAAAAAAUUCCUGCAGUUUGUUAAGUUCCAGUACCUUUCGAUAUGUUUCUUGCUGUUUGUUUUUAGGCAAUGAUAUUUGCAAUUAAAUAAAUAAGUCCAAUGCAAAUGUAAGUGCGAAUUGAUUCGAUUUUAAUCCCAAAACUCAUGUAAAACGAAGUCUGUCAUGUUCUGACUUUCAAGUACUGAAUUGCCAAAGAGAACUGAAUUUGCAGUAGCUCAGAGAAGUUCAAGCCAACAUCAGCAUAGCUUUUUUAGUUUCGUCCUAGCUAGAGAUAAUCCAACAAAAAAAAGCUAACUUGUGCCAACAAAGAGUCAGAGGUGCUAAUUUUCUACUGUUAGAUAUUGGUAUUGAUUUUACUAUAUUGUAUUAGCAUAACAAGAACAGUAAGAAAAAGGAAUUUUAAACAUCAAAUUAUAUAUUACGCGCAUAUGAUUUUAAACACAAGCAUUUUUAUUUAAAACUCACAUUAUCACAAAGAAGUAAUGAUAAGUUAUUGUUUCCCUUUGUUAAUAUUCAUGUUAUCAGUGGUUUUGCAACUCCAUUAUUUUGAUGCAGUGGCAGCACAGCUGACAGCAUUCGAUAUUGGACUGGAACAUAUCAGAUUUAAUUUUACUCCAUUUUUCCUGUCUCAGGAUAGCAGUUACACUAUCCCUGAGAGACAGGUUACAUUCUCAUAGACGGCAGAGCUUUUUCAUAUCAAGGGUGUGAUCUUUAGUCAUUAAUAGGCAUUCAAACAUUGAUAUGUUACAGUAUUAAUAAUAGAUCAUGAAGUAACAAAAUAGAUGCUAAAAUGUUUUGCAUAUUGACUUGACAGACAAAGCAUUCCUUGCAAUGAACAAUAAUAUAAGUAUCUUGUCAACCUUCAUGGCAGCUAUAGUAAAUACUUUGAAUGCCAUCAGUUUUGACAGGGAACAUUGUAUAUGUCCUGAAAAUACAGACACUGGUUUAGUAUAUAAUGUAAUAUGCACUGUUUCAUUGUUUACACUUUCCUCAGAAUAGACCACGAAGGUCCAUAUAAUCUACAGGUGCAAUUAUCUAGAAAUGCCCUGUACCCUUCAGCUCAAAAUAUAUUUUCCAUGCAUGAUAAUAAAGGCACAGUGGUUCAAAAAAACUUAUCCUCUCCUCAAGUAAUUCACUUGAAGGUUUGACAAACCAACAUUGGAAUGAUGAAGAGACACAAAUUAAAAUGGUAACGCAGAGGUUAGCACAACUUUUUUACAGUGCCAGCAACCUGGGUUCAAUCCCUGCCACUGCCUGUAAGGAGUUUGUACAUUCUCCCCAUAACUGUGUGGGUUUCCUUUGGGUGUUUUGGUUUCCUUCCCCAGUAGUUGGAAGGUUAAUUGGUCAUUGUAAAUUGUCCCGUGAUUGGGCUCAGAUUAAAUCAGGGAAUUGCUGGGUGCCAUGGCUCAAAGACUGUUCCAUGCUGUAUUUCAAAAAAUAAAGUUUUAAAAAGUGUGUUCAGUGUCAAAACAGAUACAAAAAGUAAAAUGAAAGGAAAAACUGAAUUAAGAGAGAGUAAGAAGUAAUGAAACAAAUUAAAACUUCUUAUUUAUAAAAACUCCAAAAAGCAACAGCCCACAUUUUCAAGUGACUAUCUUCUGGGAUGAGUGACUCAUUGAAAAUGAUUAACAAUUGUCACAAAAAUUUAUUUUCCUUGUAAUAACCGGACUUAACUUUCUGUGGCUGGUGGUAGUUUUAGAUCCCAUGCAAAUAAAGCAAUUUCAUAACAGUCAAUGCAUUUCAAUGGUGAGGCAGAAAGCAAAAUACUUACGUUUGUGAAGCAAAUGUCAUCAGAGCUUUGUAACUCCAACAAUAGUUGGACGUAAGAAAGCAUGAAAUGAGUGCAGGAGUACGCUACAUGACCCUUCAAUCCUACUCUUGCAUCAUUUCAGUAAGGUCAUGGAUGAACUAGUCUGCCUCAGUUUCAACAAAAUUACUUUCAGUUUCUCUAAACUCCAGUGACUACUGAUCAGACUUGCUCCAUAGGACAAGCAGUUCAUCCCAGAAAUUCUCUGAACUGUUUGUCCCAAUAGAAAAUAUUGGCCUCCUGAAUUAGUGGUGCAAAACUCUUAUGAAGUACUCCAGGUGUAGCUCCACCAGGAACAUAUAGUUUUAACAAGACAUCCCUAAUUUUGUAGUCCAUCCCCAUUACAAUAUCUGCCAAUGUUCCAGUUGCCAUCCUCAUUACGUACAUGCAUGCUAAAUUUGUGUUUCUUGAACAAUUUUAAGCAGAUACAUCUGUACCACUUAAUCUUUCCAUUUAAGUAAUAUUCUGUUGGUCUAGUCCUACUGAAAAAGUAGAUUCACUCAUACCUAACUUCAUCUGCUGCAUUUCUCCCCUCUUACACAUCUAUAUCCUUUUGCAGACUCUGUAUCUGCUAUACAGCUUAUUUUGCCACUUAUCUCUAUUUCAUCAGAAAACUUGGCUGCAAUACACUCAGACCCUUUUCAAAUUAUUAUAGAUUGCAAGUAAUUGAGUCCCAGCAUUAAUCCUGUUCGAAAACAGUUUCAGCUUCUCAGCCUAUAAGUGACUUAUGUAUUAUUCUCUGUUUUCCAAUGAUUAACCUAUAAUCUAAACAUACUAAUAUACUAACAACAGCUCCCAUCCGCACACCCACCAUCCAACAAUGCCAUGAAACUCUUACCUUAUGCAGGAACGGUCUGUGUAUCAAAUUAUUAAAUUUCUUUUGGAAACCCAAACAUGUUAUGUCUACUACUUCACCUUUACACACAAUUUCCCUUUCAUUAAUCCACGUGGACUCUGUUUAUUGUCUUGUAACCAUUUAAUUUCUUGCUACUAUGUUUUUAUAAACAGAUUACAACAUUUUCCCAGUGACAGUUAGACUAGCUGGCAUAUAAUUUUCCUUCCUCUAUCUCCUUCCUUUCUUGAAUAGUUAUUGAAAUCUGGCAAUUAUCCAUGUAUGUACAUAAAUUGCAUCACACCUGACACUGUAAAACACUUUAUGCAUAAAUAAUUGCAAACAUCCUUAGCUUCAUUCUAAUUUUAAGGGCAAAAGCUGAUCUAUUAUCAACCAUACAAAUUCUCACAUAUUGAAUGCAGAGGUGCUAUUUAUUACACUUCUCUGAUUACGCCAGUUCCAGUAAAAAUAGAAGGCUGAAUUUUUCUGUCAGGGGUGAGACUAUAUCAUUUGUUACCAACCUCAAAGAUCUAGAAUUCUGCAGAAUAAACUUAGCCUUUUCUUGUGCUCGUUGCUGACGGGCAUCAGCCCAAGCAGAUUCCUGUUAUCCAGUAACAUUGGUGUCAUCAAGCUGGCCAUGCAAUCUCAGUGAUGAUUCUUACACCAGGAAGAAAAAUAUUUGAUGUUCUUUAAGUAUUUUUUUUACAUUCUAUAAGCAUAAAAAAUAUUUGAAUGCACAUUUAAUCAUAUAGUAGAAACCAGAAGAACAAAUUAUUUUAAAAUUUAAAUUAAAAAAUACUAAUUCCUGUUGCAAUAUUUGCCCCUAAAGAUUUACAAUUCACAUGCAUAUAAUUAUUUUUAGGACCAUAGUUUAUUGCUAAUUGUCAGGGUUAACAGCCUUAAGUAAUUAACUUGGACUUUAUAUGAUACAAUAUGAUAUUUUCAAGGCUUUUUGCAGCAAGAAUAUUUUGUUACUGCCUUGAGUUCUCAUCAGUUCAUUGAUUUCAUAGGAUUAUUAUAAAGAGAGCUGCAAAACAAGACUCUGUGGAUGAACAGGGAAUCACUGAUAGCAGUCUCUAGAUUUAUGUGUGUAAUUGCAGAUGUGCAGGCUGCAAACUCCAGAAGCUACCAUCAGGCUUACAGUAUAACAGCAGUGAAUGCCAAUAAUAUGACUGUAAUUACAACCAAAAAAUCAAGCCUAUUAUUUUUAAAUGACAAAAUGCCCUUACAGAUUAACUUCAAUCAAUUCACUUUGACUAUAAUUGCUAUUACUCUUGAUUUAAAAUUCCACCUGAAAAGUCCAAAGCGUCACAAUUAGAAAGCGGUGAAAUACAACAUAAUAUCACUACCUAUAAUUAUGCGUAUCCUGUCAAUGGAGUCUCACUUUCCAUCAGAUAAUACAGUAUGUUAAGGAAAUAUCUUGUAGCAUAGUCUGAAAUCUGAAGCAUGGUGCUGCUAAAUAGUUUGGUUUUAUCCCUAACAAGUGAAUGGGAAAUAAGGGGAACACUGGGAUCAAUAGCUGGUAGCUGGAACAAGUGGGAAGCAGAAGAAAUCGGGGGAAAGAAUAUCCCAAAAUAAAGGUAAAGAUCCAGGCAGCAGAGCACAGAAUUGAGGCUGGUGAGGAAAGAAACCAAUGACCAGAAUAUGACCAAGGACGAGCCAAGGUAACCAGCACUGCGACAGGAGGUGAGAGUAAAUCAAAGUACAAACGUAGAAGGCAGCUUUGGGGCAGAAGAGUGAAAGAAGCAGCCAGCAAGAUUAAAAGGGGAGAGUUGGGAUAGGGUGAGGCUGGGUAGGGAAAUAAAGUGCUGAGAGCCAGAUGUGGAUCACAGAAAGGAACAGUGAAAAGGUUGGAAGGGGCUGCUGUCCAAAAAAACUUUUUUUUUUGUUUAUUUACCCACUCUACUGUCUUAUCUUCCCCUACCCUUAUGUCUUGCCCAUCACCUGUUAACCACCUCCUUCACUUUAUUCUAAAUCCUCCCCUAUAAGAUUCCUUCAGCCCUUUACCUCUUCCACCUAUCACCUUCCAGCUUCUCACAUCAUCCACCCUCGGCCACCCACCCACCUAACUUUUUCCUCACCUGGUCUCAUCUAUCACCUGGCCCUACUUUUUUAUUCUGGCUUCUGCCCCCCUUCCUUCCCAGUCAUGAUGAAGGGUCACAGCUCAAAAUGUCAACUGUUCAUUUCCCUCCAUGAAUGCUCCCUGACAAGUUGAGUUUCUCUCGCAUUUUUAUUUUAUAUUUUUAUUUAGUGAUGCAGCACAAUAACAGGCUCUUCUGGCUCAAGAAGCUCACGCAGCACAAUUACACCCAUGUGAUCAAUUAGUCUACUAACCCACAUGUCUUUACAGUAUGGGAGCACCCAGAGGAAACCCAGGUGGUCACUGGGUGAACACACAUAUUUCUGACAGGUAGCUGCAGAACUGAACCAGGAUUGUUUGCACUGUAAUAGUGUUACACCAGCUGCUAAACCGCCAUGCUGCCCUUGUGUGUGUUGCUCGAGAUCUCCAGUAUCUGCAGUAUCUCUUGUGCAUCUGUCUCCUGUUAUGAUCCCAGCCCCCUCCUUUGUGAGAAUCGCAAGAACACCCGUCGAGGGGUGGGGUCAGUAGACCCAGGAAGUGAGAGAGAGAGAAACGUGCAAAAUUGCACGUCCCACCCGGGAUACAGAAUAAGAUGCCAGCGACUGUUGUCUCAUGGAGACCACUUGAAAAGCCCUCGGGCAAGGUGGGCUGGUUGAGAGAGAGAUUGCAUCAUCCCAACCUGAUUGACACCUGCGACCCCGUGAGGAAGUAUAAAGGGGAGUCUCGGGGGGGGGGUACAACCCCUCAGACGCACCCAGAAGACACGAGAGAGUGAUCCCGCAGCAGCGGGAAGCCAUUUUGAAGGAAGCCACGUGCGUUAGAUUCCGGGAUUGGAAUUUGUGGCUGGAAUCACAGAAAACUAACAUCGCUUUUAACUAACAUCGGGGAGAGGGAACCAACGCUCCCCCGAUUUCACGGAAGAUUCAUCAAGACUCGGCAAGUUCUUUCUCUUCUCCCCCAAUCUCUCUCUCUCGGUCACCCCACGUGAAACCCAGCGAUUUUCAAAAGGCUGAGGCCUGCAGCCUUCUGAGUGACUUUUAUAUUUCCAACGGACAAUCUAUUAACCCCUAGACAUCAGCAGAGCUCACUUCUUAAUGAUGGUUAUUAAUAUACCCGCGCUUUAGAUUGAGUGUUGACAAUGUGCACUAUCUGAAUGUAUGUAUUAACCCUACUUUUGUGUCCCUUUAUGAAUAAAACGUUUGAAAAUAGUGACAUCAGACUUCAACGGACCUCUCUAUCUUUGCUGGUAAGUUCUCCAGUUAUGGGAUUCAUAACAGUUGGGGUUCUUGUCUCGGGAUUUGACACCAAAUUGGGAGACCAGUGAAUCGGGCUUGUAAAUCAAAAACUUGAAUCUAGUUACGCGGGUAGCCAGACGGGAAACCAGCAAAGAUGGACGUGGGUGAAUUUAUGGAAAACCCAACGGUGAGGGCGCUAGAGGCGGCCACAAAAUCAGACGUUAAAUUUAGCGAAGGGGUUGAACCUCACAGAAGUGAGGUCGUCCAUGAAAAAGCGGGAGGUACGAAGGGCCAUAACCCAGUAUUACAUUGGGAAGAAGGUGUUUGAAGCUGAGGUAUUGGGAGAUAUCCCUGAAGAGGUACCAUCAAGUGGGAUGGUUCAGUUAGAGGUGGAGAAAUUGAAGUUGGAACAUGAAAUUAAGUUAAGAGAGCUGGAAGCGGCAGAGAGAGAGAGGGAAAGGCAAAGGCAGCAUGAAAUUCACCUAAAGAAGCUAGAAGCAGAAGAGAAAGAGAGAGAACGGGCCGAGAAAGAGAAACAGAGGCAACAUGACUGGGAAAUUGAGAAGAUGAAGAACGAGCGAAGAGAUCAAGGGUUAGACCAAGCAGAGCGGUUUAAUGUUAGUAGGGAGUUGAGAUUAGUGCCCCUGUUCGAGGAGACAGAUGUCGAUAGCUAUUUCUUGCUUUUUGAAAAGGUGGCAGUAAAUCAGAAGUGGCCAAAAGAGCAGUGGGUGGCGUUGUUACAAAGUGUGUUAAAGGGGAAGGCCCAACGAGCAUAUGCGGCCUUGUCCCUGGAGGAGGGAGGAGCGGAGAAUUAUGAUGAGGUAAAAAAGGUCAUUCUCCGGACUUACAAAUUGGUACCUGAGGCCGAUAGACAAAGGUUUAGAAAUUUAAGGAAAGGGUGGAAUCAGACGUAUACCGAGCUAGCCCAUGAGAAGGGGGUGCUCUUGGACCAUUGGUGCACUGCGGAAAGAGUGGGCGAGGAUUAUGGGUGUCUCAGGGAGAUGUUUUUGAUUGAGGAAUUUAAAAGUUGUGUUCCGGAGGAGAUCCGGGUGUAUUUGAAUGAGAAGCAGGAUAAGUCCAUUUCAGAAUUUGCCAGGUUGGCGGACGAAUAUGUCCUAACCCACAAGACAAAGACUCCCUCGAAUUAAGGUCCCCAGAGAGACCGUGGGAACGAUCGAGAAAGUCCGACGAGUGAGGCAGAGGUCCCACCGGGAGCUAGCGGUAAGGUUGAGGGGGAAAGGCAAGACGGCCAGAGGGCUCCGGGUUUGACCUGUUUUAAUUGUGGAAAGGAGGGGCACAUUGCAUCUCGAUGCUUUGCUCCGAGGAAGGAGAUAGGAAGAGGGAAAACCACAGUCCCUAUCAGGUGUGCCGUGGUAAUCAGCAAAUUGACCAGAGAGCCGAGGGUAGACAGAGUACGAGAAGGCUCUGGGAGUUGUCUGUCACACGGAACCGUAUCUGUGAUGGAUGGAGACACACCAGUUCCCGUACGAAUCUGGAGGGAUACGGGCUCUGAAUUAUCCCUGGUUAGCCGUAAGGUACUAGAAUUUGGUCGGGAAACAGGCAUGGUAAAGGUGGAAGGAAUAAAUAAACGGAUAGAAAUGGUGCCCUUAUAUAAGGUCAUUCUGGAUUGUGAGCUGGUGUAUGGAUCAGUUGAAGUGGGGGUGCCCUCAGAAUUCCAGAGAGCUGACGUGGACAUCCUGCUGGGGAACGACUUAGCGGGGGUAAGGUUUGGUCAGCCAUGCUGCUGACCUGGCGACCGGCGAGUACGGUGGCCCCGUCCCUAGCGUCCAAGGACCAUCUGGCCGGCGCGGUCACUUGCAGUCUGUCGAGAGAGAGAGCUGUGAAUGAGAGCAGUUUAAAUCUGGCCAGUUUUGAUUUGGCCGAGACGUCUUUGCCGACCCUGUGCCAUGAGGGUUUCGAGGGUGGUAAGACGAAGAGUAGUAAAGUGAAAGGGGGUAAGGGAGAGGAGAUAGAUCUGCCUUUAGCGAAGAGAAAGGUCCUAAAGGUAGGAGAUAAAGAUGAGAAACAGAUAAAGCUGUUGAAAGGUCCAGAGUUGGGCAUGGAUGAUCUGUCUGGUUUGGCAGAAUUGUUUGAAGAACUUCAGAGUUCUAAAGGUGUUCCCGAUAAUGAGAGGAGGGCAGUCCUAGAUGGAAAGGAUACCCUUGCCUCGAAGAGGUCUGCUGAAAGGGCUGAGGAGGUUGUUUCAGCUGGCAGGGUUGCGCCUUCCCCGGGUGGGAGCUGCCCAGAGAGUAACUGGGAGGAUCGGGGGAAGUUAGAAUUUGAAAAAGGUACGGGUGUUGAAAGCCUGGAAGAGGCCAAUGUCCCGUUUGAGUGUGUCCGAGAUGGGAAUGUCCGAGGUGCUGAACCUAGUAACGGAGCUCAGAAGAAGUUCAGUGGAACGGGGCGGCCGUCCUUGUGGGUCAGAUGGACUCGGUUCAGUGGGAAAAGGGUUAACCUUGGUAACCGGGGAAAGUGUGAGUUCCCCGACGUCUGUACUCGAAGGAGUGUUCAAAGUUAAUGCAGAAUUUAAGAAUGGGGGGGGGGGGUGAGGAUUGUUGGCGAAGGAAACAAAAAGUCUGUAGUUUCCAAAUCGAAGGAAGAAAUCUUAAACCUGGCAGAUCGCUCACAGAGUGAGCAGGGGAAUAGCAGGGCCCCCCGCUCUAUUGUUAUGCCAGGAUGGGGUGUGAAAAGGCUGCCUUCGACAGGCUACUUGAGCGAAGAGUUCGAAUCAAACACCAAUAGCCUGAAGAGGACUGAUAAAAGGGCCAGCCACCUGGGUAAAAUCAAAGAGUUGGGUGGAAAUGGUCUAAGUCUGGGGCAUGGUGUUGCUAAAAUAACCCCGAUGAGCGGGGCGGGCGGGAGUUCACCGCGCAAAACUACUCAAGUUCCCCACGGGGGGGCUCGCCGAAAAAGAGGCGAUGGUUAAUGGGGAUGCUAUUGUUAGACAGCCAAGCAGGUUGAACGGGUUUGCGCCAAAGCCUGUGAAUAAUAAAGACAGCCCCUUUGGAGACCUGCCGGUUAAGUUAAACGACUGAAACGAUUAGUAUUCGCGUAAACUUCUGUAAAUGCCCCUAAGCUAAGGUCACACCUCCUUAGUUUUGUUACUUAAGAAAAAAAAAUUAAAUAGGUGGUUAUUGAAUUGAAGUCUGAUGUACAGUUCGCAAUGUUAAGAUAUUAAAGAAAGGGACACUGUAAUCGUUAACUAUUUAGAUACUGACUUGAAUGUAUAACGGUAGUAUUUUGUGAAAAGAAAAACUUGUGUAUUGUGUUAGAUCCAAAACUCCUGUAAGACCGUGGACCACUCCGUUUUAACCGCUGGUAAAAACGUUUUUUAAGAGGGGAGGUGUUAUCAUCCCAGCCCCCUCCUUUGUGAGAAUCGCAAGAACACCCAUCGAGGGGUGGGGUCAGUAGACCCAGGAAGUGAGAGAGAGAGAAACGUGCAAAAUUGCACAUCCCACCCGGGAUACAGAAUAAGAUGCCAGCGACUAUUGUCUCAUGGAGACCACGUGAAAAGCCCUCGGGCAAGGUGGGCUGGUUGAGAGAGAGAUUGCAUCAUCCCAACCUGAUUGACACCUGCGACCCCGUGAGGAAGUAUAAAGGAGAGUCUCGGGGGGACUGCCCCUCAGACGCACCCAGAAGACACGAGAGAGUGAUCCCGCAGCAGCGGGAAGCCAUUCUGAAGGAAGCCACGUGCGUUAGAUUCCGGGAUUGGAAUUUGUGGCUAGAAUCACAGAAAACCGCUUUUAACUAACAUCGGGGAGAGGGAACCAACGCUCCCCCGAUUUCAUGGAAGAUUCAUCAAGACUCGGCAAGUUCUUUCUUUUCUCCCCCAAUCUCUCUCUCUCGGUCGCCCCAAGUGAAACCCAGCGAUUUUCAAAGGGCUGAGGCCUGCAGCCUUCUGAGUGACUUUUAUAUUUCCAACGGACAAUCUAUUAACCCCUAGACAUCAGCAGAGCUCACUUCUUAAUGAUGAUUAUUAAUAUACCCGCACUUUAGGUUGAGUGUUGACAAUGUGCACUAGCUGAAUGUAUGUAUUAACCCUACUUUUGUGUCCCUUUAUGAAUAAAACGUUUGAAAAUAGUGACAUCAGACUUCAACGGACCUCUCUAUCUUUGCUGGUAAGUUCUCCAGUUACGGGAUUCAUAACACUCCAUAAACAGAAAGAGAGAGAGAGGGUGAGGAAAGGAGGAGGGGGAGGAGAGAGAGGGGGGAGAGGGAGAGGGGGAGGAGGAGAGAGAGAGAGGAGGAGGGAGAGGGGAGAGACAGAGACAGACAGACAGACACACACACACACAAUGGCCUUACAAGUUUAAGAGCCAGGGUUGAGGAAAAUGCACCUCCCUGAAUGUGAUAUCCAGUAAAUGGUUGUAGGUAGGGAGAAAAUAUUUCUGUUUGUUCCAUCACCAGACUAAUUUGUGCUGCAAGACAGGAAUGACUUUACACAAGAUAACCAGUGGAUUCCAUUUUUUCCGCAGUUAUUAUUAUCAUUUCCUUCUUAGUGAAUAUAUAAAAUAAGUUAGGCAUAUUGUUCACUCUGGUGUACUUAGCAAUUUUCUUUUUAACAUCUUUUGGUUAAUCUCACCAGUUCCAAAAUUUCUGGUCAAAAUUUGGCUCUUUCUUUCGCCUUCUGUUCAAAAACAAUAUUCGCAGCCUACUUCAUGAGUACGGUUACCAAAAUGAGCAAGUACAAACAAGCUUCAGGGCUGCCUAUACAACUGUAGACAAUAGAGGCAGUAUGUAUAAGGUUCCAGGUGGCACAGCGAGCAAUGUGCAGCCUCAGAGCACCAGCAAUCUAACUUCAAUGUUGACUUUUUGUACAGUCUAUGUGGAAUUUGCAUGAUCUCCUUGUGCUCUGGACUCCCCUCCCAAGGUAUCCUGGUAUCCACCCAUAUCCCAAAGGUGCAUGGGUUAAGUUGCCCUGAGAUGAGUGAUACAAGCCAGGUUUAGGGAAGGGUGAUUGAAGUAUGGAGAGCUGGUAUACACUCGAUGAUCCUAAAGGUCUCUUAUCCAUAUCAUGACCAAAUAAUGCAAUCCAGCUUGAUUUUGCAUUGUAAUGUACCUCAUACAAUUCUCCAGAAAAUCUAGCUUGAUGCUCUUAGGUUAUA